GACGAACGCUGGCGGCGUGCUUAACACAUGCAAGUCGAACGGAAGGCCCUGCUUUUGUGGGGUGCCCGAGUGGCGAACGGGGGGGGAAAAACUGAGUAACCUGCCCCUGACUUUGGGGUAACAUCCGGAAACUGGGGCUAAUACCGGAGAGGAGGUCCCGCUGGAUGGUGGGGGUUGGAAAGUUUCGGCGGUUGGGGAUGGACUCGCGGCUUAUCAGCUUGUUGGUGGGGUAGUGGCUUACCAAGGCUUUGACGGGUAGCCGGCCUGAGAGGGUGACCGGCCACAUUGGGACUGAGAUACGGCCCAGACUCCUACGGGAGGCAGCAGUGGGGAAUAUUGCACAAUGGGCGGAAGCCUGAUGCAGCAACGCCGCGUGCGGGAUGACGGCCUUCGGGUUGUAAACCGCUUUCGCCUGUGACGAAGCGUGAGUGACGGUAAUGGGUAAAGAAGCACCGGCUAACUACGUG
rnacentral:rRNA from 1 species